rnacentral:rRNA from 1 species
CGGAUGAACGCUAGCGGCAGGCUUAACACAUGCAAGUCGAGGGGCAGCAUAUUUGGUAGUAAUACUAAGUGAUGGCGACCGGCGCACGGGUGCGUAACGCGUAUGCAACCUACCAUAUACAGGGGGAUAACCUUUCGAAAGGGAGCCUAAUACCCCAUAGUAUUGUUAUUUGGCAUCAAGAAACAAUUAAAGAUUUAUUGGUAUAUGAUGGGCAUGCGUGCCAUUAGCUAGUUGGCGAGGUAACGGCUCACCAAGGCUACGAUGGCUAGGGGUUCUGAGAGGAAGAUCCCCCACACUGGUACUGAGACACGGACCAGACUCCUACGGGAGGCAGCAGUGAGGAAUAUUGGUCAAUGGACGGAAGUCUGAACCAGCCAUGUCGCGUGAAGGAGGACGGCCCUAAGGGUUGUAAACUUCUUUUGCAGGGGAAUAAAGUAUUCCACGAGAUGGGAUAUUGCAAGUACGCUGCGAAUAAGGAUCGGCUAACUCCGUG